ensembl:misc_RNA Metazoa_SRP Metazoan signal recognition particle RNA
GCCAGGUGUGGUGGUGCACACCUGUAUUCCCAACUACUCGGGAGGCUGAGGUGGGAGGAUCGCUUGAGCCUAGGAGGCUGAGGUUGCAUUGAACCAAUCACGCCAUUGCCCUCCAGCCUGGGCAACAGAGGGGAGACUCCAUCUAAAAAAAAAAGGCUGGGCGCAGUGGCUCACGCCUGUAAUCCCAGCACUUUGGGAGGCUGGGGCGAGUGGAUCACCUGAGGUCAGGAGUUCGAGACCAGCCUGGCCAACAUAGUGAAACCUCGUCUCU